AAAUUGAAGAGUUUGAUCAUGGCUCAGAUUGAACGCUGGCGGCAGGCCUAACACAUGCAAGUCGAGCGGAAACGAGUUAUCUGAACCUUCGGGGAACGAUAACGGCGUCGAGCGGCGGACGGGUGAGUAAUGCCUAGGAAAUUGCCCUGAUGUGGGGGAUAACCAUUGGAAACGAUGGCUAAUACCGCAUGAUGCCUACGGGCCAAAGAGGGGGACCUUCGGGCCUCUCGCGUCAGGAUAUGCCUAGGUGGGAUUAGCUAGUUGGUGAGGUAAGGGCUCACCAAGGCGACGAUCCCUAGCUGGUCUGAGAGGAUGAUCAGCCACACUGGAACUGAGACACGGUCCAGACUCCUACGGGAGGCAGCAGUGGGGAAUAUUGCACAAUGGGCGCAAGCCUGAUGCAGCCAUGCCGCGUGUGUGAAGAAGGCCUUCGGGUUGUAAAGCACUUUCAGUCGUGAGGAAGGCGUUGUAGUUAAUAGCUGCAUCGUUUGACGUUAGCGACAGAAGAAGCACCGGCUAACUCCGUGCCAGCAGCCGCGGUAAUACGGAGGGUGCGAGCGUUAAUCGGAAUUACUGGGCGUAAA
rnacentral:rRNA from 1 species